rnacentral:lncRNA from 1 species
AAAUGGUCUUUUCUUUCUUAUUUUGCCUCUUAAAAAAAAAUUGAUCUAAGAAAUUAUGCAAGAUUGAAGGAACAGGGAAAAGAUGCAGUCUACAUGAGGUUCUGUUGUUGCCAGAGGCGUGUUUAGCGUGGAAAAUGUGCCCUUCUGAGUAGCAGACUGGUGGCAGAGCUGUCCUGCUCCAUGUGGUCAUGUCCCUGAGCCCCCUGCCUCCCAACGACAUCCUUCUGCUAGCAGCCGCAGGGUGGGCAUCUCCCAGACCCUGGCACAUCCAUGGCUGUGGACACCGUGGACAUAGAAGAUGCCGCCUCUCUCUCUCUCUCUCUCUCUCAACAUCUCCAUGAGGGUUUCCUCAGUGAGGUCCAGAAAUGGAUGGAUGCGAAUGACCCAGAUGCCAUCUCCUCACCAAAGUUUCUCCUCCCUCCCAGAACGAUGCAGAGAAUAAACCGUGGGAGAGGCUUCCUGUCGGUGGGUUUAUAAGACGUAAAGAUUCUAGUGCGAGGUGGCAACAAAGGGAACAUGGUUUGCGUUGGGAAGAGCGAGACUGACCAUUACUGAAUGUAAUAAAUGAGCGUCCUUGAACAGGGGGACAUCCAAGAGGCCAUUAGAGGAAUUGACCGGUGCACGAGGCCAAGUGGUAGCUCUUGUUGGCCCAUCUGUGGUAUUUAAUGAACCCUGUCCUGAGAAGACCGGGGAAGAGGGAGCCAGGCAGGAGAGACGGUGCCAGAUGGGCCAGGAGGCGUCCUCGCCUUCAUCCUGUGGUUCUGGGACCAGCCCCGAGACUGCUCGUCUCCCACUUUAUGCGAAGACGUGACCGUGUUAGGCAGCGGGGGAAAUGGCCAGACUCGAGGAAAAUUCAACAGCUGCCCCAUUUCCAGGGCUUGCUCCCCAGGGUCCCGGAUCAGUUCCUGGGUUUUCAACUGUUCUGGUUUAGUUUACUUUGCUAAGGUCCCUCAUAAGAAGGGAAGUACAUCAAGACGUGUCGAAAAAGCAGCAAAUCUGUGAAGCAAAGCUUUUGGAUGAUCAGGAAAAAUAGCAUUCAG